UGGUAGUAGGUGCCUUUGAACAGGGUAUGGUAGUAGGUGCCUUUGAACAGGGUAUGGUAGUAGGUGCCUUUGAACAGGGUAGUAGGUGCCUUUGAACAGGGUAUGGUAGUAGGUGCCUUUGAACGGGGGUAUGGUAGUAGGUGCCUUUGAACAGGGUAUGGUAGUACGUGCCUUUGAACAGGGUAUGGUAGUAGUAGGUGCCUUUGAACAGGGUAUGGUAGUAGGUGCCUUUGAACAGGGUAUGGUAGUAGGUGCCUUUGAACAGGGUGUGGUAGUAGGUGCCUUUGAACAGGGUAUGGUAGUAGGUGUCUUUGAAUGGGGUAUGGUAGUAGGUGCCUUUGAACAGGGUGUGGUAGUAGGUGCCUUUGAACAGGGUAUGGUAGUAGGUGCCUUUGAACAGGGUAUGGUAGUAGGUGCCUUUGAAC
ensembl:lncRNA